rnacentral:lncRNA from 1 species
ACAGCCCAGCACGGGCAACAGUGAACAGGCCAGGCUACUUUACAAGAAGGAAAAGCCUUGGGGGGAAAACUUGGUGUUUGAUAAAGGACUUGAGGAAGAGAACAGCAGCUGCCCCUCCUUUCCCAUCAAAUCGAAACAAAACUGAGACGAGGAAAAAAGAAAGAAAAAAAAAAAAAAAUCGAGUCUACGCGGGACCCCAGAGGAAGGAAGCAGGACCGCUAACCUAAGAAAACCGGAGGCGCCGGCAUCCAGGAGGGAAUCCCGAGGGCGGAGCCCACAGGGGAAGGAGGUGUGGAGUUGAGUCGGGGAGAGUUGCCGAGAGAAGUGGGGGACAGGGAUAGUGAUGGGAGAAAAGACGGCCAGGCAGAGAGAGGGGUGGGGCUGCCGGGCAGUGCCCCGGGCAAAUGUCACUCAGAGCCGGGGGAGGGGAGGGUCCGAGCGCAGGGAUCCCUGGACGGAGGAUCGCGGCUUCAGCAGGUUCGAGCCACACACAGCAGCUUAACGCCGCCCGCUCUGGGGUCCCUGCCCGGAGCCCCCGGGUCCCCGAAGGUGGGAAGCGGCAUCGCAGAAACCCAGAGCCGGAGGCGGCUUUACCUUCGCAGGAGGCUGGAGGCGCUCCAGCCCGAGCUCCGCCCGCCGCCGGCUCCACGUCUUGAGUAGGAUGGAGGCGCCGCCGGCCCCGUCCCCUCUCGCUUUCCUUUUCCCCGCCGGGGCCUGUCGCCGCGGGUUCCUGCGCCGCGGCCCCCACCCCUCCGCUCCUCCCUCUGCCUCUCAGAGGCUCGCCCUGGACGCCGCCAUCUUCCACCAGGCUUGCGAGCGCUGAACCCUAACGCGCGUGCGUGGCCGCCGCCCCGGCCGUCACGAGACCCUGUCAGCUGACCUCGGCGCUUCCGCCUCGCGCCCCGCCCUCGGGAGCACUGUGCUCCCUCCCUCGGUGGCCCAUUCGCCGUCUUCCGGGAAGCGCCGCGUGCGCGCCGCCCGCCGUUCCGCCUCUCGGGAAGUACGCGUGCGCUUAGCGAAAGAGAGCCUUGGCCCAAGCAGAAGGCGAGGCGCCACGCCCCCUGGAGCGGUCCGAGAGGCCACGCCCCCUGAAUCCCUGGAGACACGCCUCUCAGCCAGACGCUGGCAUUGGCUACUGUAACUCUGCAAAGGAGCAGCUCUGUUACCUAGCCCUAGUCUUCAGUGUCCUGGCGCAUCCACGAAGCCGUCGAAAGCCUCAGUGCGCAUCUCUGGUUUAGCUGCAUCGUGGGCAUAACUUUUACUCGCUACUGACACACCCUGAACGCGGAUUUAAGUUUUGAGUGUUCAGGGAGAUAAUGGAGACCGAAGCCUCAGAGGUCAAAGGCCUUUGCGGGUGAAGUGUUGGGACAGUUAACACUGCUGCCUUCCUGGACCUCUGAUCCCAGAGCCAGGAUUUAAUUGGCCAACUACUUAAGGUCAAUUAACUUGCAGCCGUCUGAGAUAGGGAUUAUCCUCUAUUUUCAGAUAAUAAAUUGAUGUGUAGUUCCACAGU